UAUGGCUCAGGAUGAACGCUAGCUACAGGCUUAACACAUGCAAGUCGAGGGGAAACGACAUCGAAAGCUUGCUUUUGAUGGGCGUCGACCGGCGCACGGGUGAGUAACGCGUAUCCAACCUGCCCACCACUUGGGGAUAACCUUGCGAAAGUAAGACUAAUACCCAAUGACGUCUCUAGAAGACAUCUGAAAGAGAUUAAAGAUUUAUCGGUGAUGGAUGGGGAUGCGUCUGAUUAGCUUGUUGGCGGGGUAACGGCCCACCAAGGCAACGAUCAGUAGGGGUUCUGAGAGGAAGGUCCCCCACAUUGGAACUGAGACACGGUCCAAACUCCUACGGGAGGCAGCAGUGAGGAAUAUUGGUCAAUGGACGAGAGUCUGAACCAGCCAAGUAGCGUGCAGGAUGACGGCCCUAUGGGUUGUAAACUGCUUUUAUAAGGGAAUAAAGUGAGUCUCGUGAGACUUUUUGCAUGUACCUUAUGAAUAAGGACCGGCUAAUUCCGUGCCAGCAGCCGCGGUAAUACGGAAGGUCCGGGCGUUAUCCGGAUUUAUUGGGUUUAAAGGGAGCGUAGGCCGGAGAUUAAGCGUGUUGUGAAAUGUAGACGCUCAACGUCUGCACUGCAGCGCGAACUGGUUUCCUUGAGUACGCACAAAGUGGGCGGAAUUCGUGGUGUAGCGGUGAAAUGCUUAGAUAUCACGAAGAACUCCGAUUGCGAAGGCAGCUCACUGGAGCGCAACUGACGCUGAAGCUCGAAAGUGCGGGUAUCGAACAGGAUUAGAUACCCUGGUAGUCCGCACGGUAAACGAUGGAUGCCCGCUGUUGGUCUGAAUAGGUCAGCGGCCAAGCGAAAGCAUUAAGCAUCCCACCUGGGGAGUACGCCGGCAACGGUGCAACUCAAAGGAAUUGACGGA
rnacentral:rRNA from 2 species